AGCGAACGCUGGCGGCAGGCCUAACACAUGCAAGUCGAACGAACCUUUCGGGGUUAGUGGCGGACGGGUGAGUAACACGUGGGAACGUGCCUUUAGGUUCGGAAUAACUCAGGGAAACUUGUGCUAAUACCGAAUGUGCCCUUCGGGGGAAAGAUUUAUCGCCUUUAGAGCGGCCCGCGUCUGAUUAGCUAGUUGGUUGAGGUAAUGGCUCCCCAAGGCGACGAUCAGUAGCUGGUCUGAGAGGAUGAUCAGCCACAUUGGGACUGAGACACGGCCCAAACUCCUACGGGAGGCAGCAGUGGGGAAUCUUGCGCAAUGGGCGAAAGCCUGACGCAGCCAUGCCGCGUGAAUGAUGAAGGUCUUAGGAUUGUAAAAUUCUUUCACCGGGGACGAUAAUGACGGUACCCGGAGAAGAAGCCCCGGCUAACUUCGUG
rnacentral:rRNA from 1 species